CGAAGCUAUACAAGAAAUUGAUGGCGAGAGGGUUUUUCCUUUUAGUCAGUGAGAGAUAGUGUGCAAGUCUAUAAAGUAAACGGAGAGACAAAACUCGUGCUGCGUUGACUAUUACAGGACGUGUUUUGAUUAUAUUACACCGAUUCAGGUCAGUUUGGCUACUGUUUCCUCUACUGAUGCUUUGUUCGAUGCUUUGCAUGGCCACUUUACACAACAUUCUGUCCAAGGAACAAUCAAGAUAAACUUUUAGAAUGUUUUUAUAUGGCUUGAUUCCUCGUUUGUGUGAGCAGCUAUAAAAUUGUGAGAACUAUAAAGUAGCAAAUAUAUUCCUGAGCAUAUUUGAUCGGAUUUUUAUAAAACACUACACCAGCAAAAUGUCGGCAUUGUUGGAAAAUGCUGUGAUUUUUCGUGAAGUUCAACCCUCGAACUCUGCACAAAAACUGUACGGAAAAUAUAGUUAAACUUUAUUUAACAGUCGGAGCAUUUUCCUACACCAGAGACUUUAUUACUAUUAAAGAUGCGGCAUGUACAGUCCAAUCUGUGCAUGUGCACACAGAGUCCCCUUUUUAUUUACAAACAGUUUAGUUAGGUUUUUAUUUCAUUUUAUGUUCUUGCAAAGCUUGAUUGUUGUCUCUUGAUAAUUUCUAGAAUCAUGAAAAUAUAACUAGUUGUGGAAUAAAAUUCAAUAUUUUGGAUACCGAAAUGUAAACAGAGCCUUUGUUUACAUACGGACUGUACCGCAUCUUUAAAGUAUAGCAUUAUUAAAUUAAUGAAAGGCAAUCAAAGAAAAGGCAUUGAGUGAUUGAGAAAGGGGAUGCGAUAACAUAUAAAACUUGAUAAACUUCUUAAUUGUUAAUGAUUGUCAGAAGUUCAGAACACUGUUUCCAUAAUUCAAUAAUUUUAUCAUAUAUUAUACAAUAAUAUUGUAUAAUUAAUUAAACCUUAUUGGCUGGUCGAAAUAGAAGUGAUUUGAUUAUGGUAAUCUGCCACCAUUCAGUACAGCCCUGCCCCACAGUAGGCGGAUCACACCAAACUAAGGGGACGAUUACAUGGAGCACUUUUAACCACAGGUUUGAACUCGACCAUGUUUACAUAACUGGGUUGAAUAUUUUGCGAUUACAUGGACAAUCUCAACCCCAGGGUUGAAAUGCUAUACAUUCCCGGAAGUGAAAACAAAAACCAGCCUCAUCAAAUACUUGAGUAACUCAUGAAUAAUUUCAGCCCUGGGUUGAAACGAUUACAUGAUAAAAUUUUCAACCCAAGGCGAAGUCCAACCUGGGGUUGAAAUUUAACUCUGCUAGCUGAAGCGGGGUUGAACUUGGCCCUGAAUUGAAAAUUUUGAAAUCAUGCAUUUGAUUUUGAUAGCAUUUUGUAUUACAGACAAGGGCGAGGGUUCAGCCCAGGCCUCGUAGGUCCCAACUGUAGGCCUGUCAACCCCAGGGUUGAAAAUGCUCCAUGUAAUCAGCCCCUAAUUAACCCAUUAAAACUUUGAUGUACCCUGAUUUGACUUUAUUUCUGUUGAAUACCAGAUAAUAUAAUAUCAUGGCCUUUAAUUCACCAAUCUUGGUAUGAAAAUCGAGUGACCACAAAAAAUAUUUACAUGCA